CGGGUACGGUACGGUACCGACCGUACGGUAACGGUAACGUAACGUAACGUAACGUAACGUACGGUACCGGUACCGACGAACGACGGUACGGUACGUACGUACGUACGUUACGUUACGUUACGUACGUACGACGACGAACGUAACCGUAACCGUAACGUACGUACGUACGUACGUACGUCUACGUACGUACGUACGUAGUAGUAGUACGUACGUACUCUCGGGGUCCAGAGUGACAGGUGUGCAUGGUGUGCAGCNCGUGNGUGNGCGCGNGCAGNAUGAGANUCANAGNGCNNCCUAUCCCCCUGUCCGUGGCCUUGGCCUUCCCACGACCUACGGCCGCGUCCGGACUAUUGGGCGUUAAAGGCGAGCCGAGCGGUAAAGUAAGGUACUAGACUUGAGUAAAGCCCCGGACGUCCGACCGGUACGGACGAGUUGGAACUUGGUUUAACUUGUUAAGUUCAGAGAGAGAAGGUGGAAGUUCGAAUUCGUGUUAGUGGUGAACGUGAACGCAGAGAUAUGUGGAAGACACGUGGCGAAAGCGGCUCUCUGGUCUGUAACUGACGCUGAGGCUCGAAAGCGUGGGGAGCAAACAGGAUUAGAUACCCUGGUAGUCCAC
rnacentral:rRNA from 1 species